AUACGGUAGCUGUAGGCACAUUUAAUACAAAGACGACAUGAAAUAAAGACAUUGAAGAUCUCGAUUUUGAUGAAGAUGAUUUUACUUCAAAACUUCCUGUCGAAGGGUGUGAAGAUUCGGGCUUUGAUACCAAAUGGCUCGAAGAAGCAUUAGACUCAACAGUAGUUCGUGGUUUCCUUCGUUUAGCCCACUCACCGUUCGGACCAAUAUGAACAGGACAUCCCAAAAAAGUAAGACCAUCCACCCAAAUUUCAAAUUUUUGAUUGCAAAGUUCAAUACGAGGACUUAGCAUAUUUGCGAGAAAGCCUUUUUCAUAACCAAGUACAUGUGUAUCGUCAGCUACUUCAGUAAACCUAUUAUUCUCAUCAUCAUCGCUGUCAUCAAGGUCGAGCAUCCCGAUUGCAGACUCCGCUGAAUCAUUAUUAUGAUGAGUGGCUUGUAGACGUACUUGAGGUUGUAGCGGCCAGUGAAAGACGAAAUUAGCUCCUGAUGUUGUUU